GUUGCACGUAUGCGCCGUUGUAUGUACUACCAGUUACUGCUCUUGGAUGUUACCACUUUCCUGUACCUGAGGCGUGAGCAGCACCUUGGCAGAGCAGCCCCAGCUUCACUACUCCAUCUGUGUCUAGACGGAACGUUUUCAGGCAUAGUAUUGAGUGCAGGUCACACUGGCCUGUGUAGACAGCUGGAUUGUUAACAAUAAAAUGUUCAGCCACUUAUUUUAGCAACAUAAGCAGGCACCAAAGAGAGGAGGGGCCAGUCAUCAAGACAACAGCACUGCCAGCUCUCCAGAGAUGACUGUUUAGAUAAGCAUAUGACGACAGAGCACCACAAACAGUCUGUGAAGUCACAUGCCUUACUGGCACAAGAUCAUAAAAAGACCAACUGUCAGCCUCAUUUAAUAAUUCAUCAGAUGUUGGAGAUUUUGGCCACCAUGGUUGAGGAGCUAAUCCUCUCCUCCAUGGCUAUCGGGCUGGAGGUGGAUGAAAGCACAAAUGUUUCUGUGGACAACAAUUAAUGACUGAAUCUGAGUUGUUAGGGGUCUGCCAUAUCAUAUUUUCAUGGUAUAUCAUUUUUAAAUUUUUUAAAAAUCAUUUAGUGACAGUGGCAAUAUUCCCACUUACUGAUUCCUUGUCUUGAUUUUUUUCCCUUUCUGUUCUGAAUGGCUGUUCUGAAAGUCCUUGGGCCAAGUGAAUCUGAGACCACAGAAAAAAUUACUGGCAGCUUUUAACAGCAAUUCUGGCCAUUAUUGUGUACUGCAGCUGCACUUUGUGUUGUUAUUAAUCUUUCAUCUCAUGACACCUGGCAUUAUGUUCUCAGCUGC